GGAACCCGAAAACGCCUCUCAGUUCGGAUCGGAGUCUGCAACCCGACUCCGUGAAGCUGGAUUCGCUAGUAAUCGCGCAUCAGCCAUGGCGCGGUGAAUACGUUCCCGGGCCUUGUACACACCGCCCGUCACACCAUGGGAGUCGGAAAUGCCCGAAGCCGGUGACCAAACCAAUAAGGAAGGAGCCGUCGAAGGCAGGUCUGAUAACUGGGGUGAAGUCGUAACAAGGUAGC
rnacentral:rRNA from 1 species